rnacentral:misc_RNA from 1 species
GUACAAUAUCUUGAAGAGUAGCAGCCGAGUUAGGGAGGAAGUGUAGAAGGAUUGAGGAUACCGUUGUGGAGUUUGGACUUUGCAUUUGGUUAUAGCUUUGGGAGUUUUCAAUGCACAGCAUGCCAUUACUCUAAAUACAGACUUCUUGUUGUGGUAGUAAGUUAUGGCUGUUGUAGUGGUGGUGGAACUCUUUGUUCUUGCUCUGGCUUGUGAAAGUGC